rnacentral:tRNA from 1 species
UCUCAGGUGGCACAGUGGCAAAGAACCUGCCUGCAAAGCAGGAGAUUCAGGCUCGAUCCCUGAGUGGAGAA